rnacentral:rRNA from 1 species
UGGGGAAUUUUGGACAAUGGGCGAAAGCCUGAUCCAGCAAUGCCGCGUGUGUGAAGAAGGCCUUCGGGUUGUAAAGCACUUUUGUCCGGAAAGAAAUCCUUGGCUCUAAUACAGUCGGGGGAUGACGGUACCGGAAGAAUAAGCACCGGCUAACUACGUGCCAGCAGCCGCGGUAAUACGUAGGGUGCAAGCGUUAAUCGGAAUUACUGGGCGUAAAGCGUGCGCAGGCGGUUUGCUAAGACCGAUGUGAAAUCCCCGGGCUCAACCUGGGAACUGCAUUGGUGACUGGCAGGCCAGAGUAUGGCAGAGGGGGGUAGAAUUGGCCACGUGUAGCAGUGAAAUGCGUAGAGAUGUGGAGGAAUACCGAUGGCGAAGGCAGCCCCCUGGGCCAAUACUGACGCUCAUGCACGAAAGCGUGGGGAGCAAACAGGAUUAGAUACCCUGGUAGUCCACGCCCUAAACGAUGUCAACUAGUUGUUGGGGAUUCAUUUCCUUAGUAACGUAGCUAACGCGUGAAGUUGACCGCCUGGGGAGUACGGUCGCAAGAUU